GUUCACUCAAGACCCCUUUUCAGAGUUCCUCAGCUCUUGACAGUCUUGGCAAAAGAACCAUAAUAACUUUUCAGAAACUGCUGGUAGAGUAAUUCCUAUCUUCUGCACUGAGUAUUCAUUUACAGCUCAAACUCAUGGUACAAACUGAUCACUGUAUCAAACCAUCGAACCUCAGGGGUGGAUACAGGUGCAUAACAGGAGACUGGAAAACCACGGACAGACCUGAGUCCAGCACAGGAAGAGAAAAGACAGAUGCAGAGGAUUGGCAAGAGGUCACGUUUUCUAGGCUUGUAAUGGAAAGCUGGAAGAAACAGAAAAGAAGUCGGAUAUUGGGAAACGUGUGAUGAGGUAUGUACACUGUAAGAAAAAUGAUGAAACCUGGUCAGCCCUCAGUUAUCUCCUGCUCCUGGAGACAGAAGGUUACCAAAAUCUUAAAUUCUUUUGCAAAGGAGUCUUUGAAAAAGGAACAGUGCGAAGAGAUUGCUCUGCCUGGCAAAAGCUCAUUUUGAAAGAAGGCUGAAACCUCAGUGAGUUAUGAGCCUGCUGAGAAAAUACCACCUCAGGAAAGGCUGGGCAGAAGACACUAAAAUUGAAUCUUGUCUGGAGUUUUGUGUGGACAUUGCUAUUGAGGGGACUCCAAGGAGGUGUUCUGAGUGUUACAGUGCAGACAGGGAGGAGCCUGGAGAGUGAGUUCAUGCUCUUUAGUUUAGAAGAAAUGUCAUAGCGAAGAGUACUGAUGAUAUGUGAUGUUGUGCUCGCCCUGGGCGCAGUAGCAGUUGCAAAGAUGGUAAAUAUGGUAAUGACCGCAGCCAGAGGUACUGGAAAAGGGUAAUAUCAGCCAUGUGUGAUUACACAGAAUAGUGGGCUUGAAGCUGGGAAAAAAAGCUUUGGCUGAGACAUGCCACACAUUGGAGGGAGAGGGAGAACUGCUUGGCCGUUGAGAAAACCUCCGUGAAUUCAAUAGCAG
ensembl:lncRNA